rnacentral:lncRNA from 1 species
UUUGCUUUGGAUCUUUUCGAGGCGGUUCCUUAUGUUUUGUUAUUGUACAGGAGUCAUGUGUGGGCGGGGGUUUGUCCCGACCCUAGUUAUGUCAUGUAUAUCCUAGAGGCUUUGUAGACAUAAGGAAGGGUAAAGUCAUGGAAGUUUAUAUAGUGAUGUUAUAUUUGUAUAUGUGGUGGCCCCGACGGCCAAGUAUUAUAUAUAUAUAUAUAUAUAUUGGUGCGUGUUGUGCUGAUACAGGUAAUUAGACCCUUCUAUAUGCAACGAAGUGCUGUCCAAAUUUUUGGUGACAUGUAAGUGAAAGUACAGGUAUUUGAACGGGUUCUCCCAGGCCUUCUCGACUUCGGGUGCCAGUCCGGCCCAAUGGGAUUUUGGGGCGUGACAGCUAUGUUCUCAGAAUGCAACUUGGUGGGAAAUCCUCGCGAAUGAUGGAUAGAUUCUGGUGCCA